GCACGCCCUCUUUUAUACAAUGGUGCAUCGGCGGUCGUGUGCUACGGCAAAACAAGAAAUUACGAUUAUGUCGCCUGGCGAAGGUUGAUGAAUGUAAUCAGAUGACCUCCAAAAUCCAAAUGAAGAAUGUCCAGCUGUGAACACUGGUAUUUGUGAUGUCGCACAAUAUACCACAGUACCUUGAUUCAAAUGGAUGAUUGCGUUGAUUGCAAUUCAGGACUGAAUAUUUCUCUCUGGUAAGGAUGUUUGCUGAUGAUUAAUAAGCGUGUGGUCAGCUGUGAUGUGAUGAACCUUAUCAACACAUCAUUCUUACAUAAAGAGGAAUAAAAGUAAAGGAAUUGGUCGAACCGUCCAUUUGUAUCAUCCUAGAGCAGGAUGGGGUCUUUUUGAAUAUUUAGUCUUCACCUUUUCUCCUGGGGACCCGCUGUGAGUUUGUGGAUGAACUUGAUUGGCCUGGACAGAGUCCUGACCUCAACCCAAUAGGACAUCUUUGGGAUGAAUACGAGCGAGGCCUUCUUGUCCAACAUUAGUGUCUGACAAAUGUGCUUUUAGAAGAAUGUUCAUAACACACUAAGCCCUGUUAUAGCUUCAAAGGGCAGGCAAAUUCUAUAUUAAACCUAUGGAUUAAGAAUUGGAAGUCAUUCAGGUUAAUGUGCAUGUAAAGGCAGGUGUCCCAAAACAUUCUGCGUUAUGGUGUAUGUACUGUCAUUGAAGAAAAUAAAAGUUACUGCUAAUUA